rnacentral:lncRNA from 1 species
GUAUAAUCUAUCAUGUCUAGAGAAUGUACUGUAUUACAGGACUACAUGAGAGACACCUAACAUAAAUUUUGGAAGGCAGGGUGGGGAGAGAUCUGGGAGGGCUCCUUAAAGGAAUCUAAACUGAGGAUAAGUUAAAAUUUUCUAGACAAAAAAUAAGCUGAAAAUUGUUCUAACCGUGGGGAACAGCGUGUAAGAAGGAGAGAAAAGGUAAGAUAAUUUGAUGGCACUCAGGGAAGUUCAUUUUAAUAUCAAUAGUCCAGCCCUUCUUGCUUUAUCACUAAAGGCCAUUUCCAUGUAGUGAUACAUUCAAAAGACACAAAAUGCUAGUACCAAAAAAGCUUGGAAUUAUAGCCAGUCACACCACAUCUAGAAAAAUUUCUAAGGGUCUUUGACUUUAUUGCUGUUGAAGUUCCUUAGAAGCAGAGCCCGAGGCAGUAAUUGGGGUGCAGGUGAUUCAGUCGGGAGCGUGCUUCAGGAAGAACCUGUAAAGGAAGCGGGAUAAUCAGGAAAUUGAGCUGAGCAACGGUGCAGUUUCAGGUGAGAUCUAGCCUUGCUAAUCCAAGGGGGAAGGGCUCUGUAGCAAAAACCACACCAGAGAGCUGCCCCCUGUACUUCAGGAAAAGGGCCUACUUUUUGUACCCAUAAAGCCAGUCAUUGGCAGAAGGCAUAAUAUUGGGAACAUACUUUCCUCGUUCUGACACAUAUAUUUCAGCCCUUCCAUCUCAUUUUGUUUCCAUUAUUUUGACCACACAAUGUUUUCUAGAGCUAAGUAAUACAAUUACAGACUCCUGAGAAAGUUGAGGGAGGAAGGAAACAGGUGUUGCUGCUGUGAUGCUUUUCUCAGUACUGCUGGAGUGCAGGGUGUGUGUGGAGGCAGAGAGUGGGCUGUGGAGAAACUAAGGCUGGAGAGAUGCCUGCUUCCCUUUCGCUUCUCUGCUAUGUUAUGACACAGCAAGAGGCCCUCAUCAGGAGCUAACCAGAUUUGGCCACCAGUCUUGGACUUCCCAACCUCCUGAACGAUUAUUUUUCAAGACUAUUUCACUAAGUGGAUAGAGACUACUUACCAUCAAGCCUUGUGUUACCUCUGAGGAAGCAUUCUAACUUAUUGGCCAAAAGACUGCAGCGAAUUUUGUUUUGGGAGACUUCUAAGGACACUAAAUUUGAGUUUGAUUCAUUUAUUUCCACUUCCACAGAGUUGCAAUCAAUUCUGUAAGUGAUUCAUAAGCCAACAAGCAGAACACAUUGAAAUGAUUUGUAGUUUGUAAGAAUAACAUUUAUCAAGUUCCUGCUUUUAUUUAAACCUGCAUUAUGGUUAUUAUUGGACAAAGAAGUACCCCUAUAUCGUCACGGAAUGUAAAGUGAACCACAAGAAAAUUUAAUAGAUGCAAUUUAGUAACAUGCUAAUGAAAUUUCUAAAUUUGGAAUAUAUCUUCAUCCUAUAUUUGGCUAUUUUUCUUUUGGUGGCCAGCUCAUAUGUACUUUGCCCAGUGUUCUUAGUUUUUUUCCGGACAACUCAAAUGUAACAUGUCUGAAGCAAAACCAAGAAUGGAUAUGGACUUUAAAUGCAACAGCUGAAUUAAAGUCACUGUUUACUCAUACACAAGCUGUAUGGCUUUUGGCUAGUUAAUACAUCUGAAGGCUUAGAUCAAAGGAGUAUAUUAACAGAUGCACCUCAAAAGGCUAUUGUGAGAAUUAAUAAGACCAAUGUGUACAAUGGUACAGUGCUGGCUGUUCAAAAAUGAUAUGUGCAUUUGCAUUCAACAAAUGAUAGCUCCUUUCACUUCCAUUUUCUACACUUGGCCAAGUUGUUCAUCAAUUUCCAAUGAAAAAUAAUUUGAAUCAAUUCCAGAGUUGGGGAAUAAUCCUACAACUUCCCUUCCCUCAUUCUCCUAUAUCAAUUAAUUCACAGAGAUUUGCUUCCCUGCCUCAUAUUAUUUCUAGAGUUGGUCUUUUCUCCAUCUCUCAUAUUACUAAAGAGCCUCUUCCAACUGGACAUUUCACUAGUCUUUACCUGGUUCCCUAUAUCCAUUUUUGUUACUGUCUUCUGCCUAUCCAUUUUCUGAGCUUUUUUUGCUGUUAUUUUUCUAACUUCUAAAGACAGAUGCUUAGCUCAAUAAAUACUAGCCACUUUUAUUUUCUAAUGUACUCUUUUAAGGCUGUAAAAUGAUAGGUAUUGUUUUAACUGCACCCCAGAAGUUUUGAUAGGUAGUGAUUAUUGAUUCUACAUAUUUUAAAUUUUUCAGUGUUUCUUAACUUCAGAAAUACAGAAUUUAUUUUGCUAUCUUUUGUGAUUUUUUUCCAUUUUAAUGUUGCUGAUAGUAGAAAAAAAACUCUCUGAUUCCUUUUCUUUGAAAUAUGUCUUGUUUUAUUGUCCAGUCUGCAGUUCAUUUUUAUAAAUGUUCUAUCUGGGCUAAACAAAAUA